rnacentral:rRNA from 1 species
AGCGAACGCUGGCGGCAGGCCUAACACAUGCAAGUCGAACGAAGCCUUCGGGCUUAGUGGCGGACGGGCGAGUAACACGUGGGAACGUACCUUUUGGUUCGGAACAACUCAGGGAAACUUGCGCUCAUACCGGAUGAGCCCUUAGGGGGAUAGAUAUAUCGCCGAAAGAGCGGCCCGCGUUAGAUUAGCUAGUUGGUGAGGUAAAGGCUCACCAAGGCAACGAUCUAUAGCUGGUCUGAGAGGAUGAUCAGCCACACUGGGCACUGAGACACGGCCCAGACUCCUACGGGAGGCAGCAGUGGGGAAUCUUGCGCAAUGGGCGAAAGCCUGACGCAGCCAUGCCGCGUGAAUGAUGAAGGUCUUAGGAUUGUAAAAUUCUUUUACCAGGGACGAUAAUGACGGUACCUGGAGAAAAAGCCCCGGCUAACUUCGUGCCAGCAGCCGCCGUAAUAC